CCGAAAGGCCAACUCUGCCUGGGCUUGCUCCCGUUUUCGUUUUUUCCUUGCCCCCCAAAAGCUUUUGUUUUCUUUUUUAAGAUUUUACUUAUUUUUUCACGAGAGACCCCGAGAGAGAGGCCGAGACCCAGGCCUAGGGAGAAGCAGGCUCCCUGCAGGGCCGGCGAGGACUCGAUCCCGGGACCCAGGGGUCACCACCUGAGCCCAAGGCAGAUGCCCAAGGGCUGAGCCCCCCAGGGCUCCCCAGAGCUGAAUUUUCCACAGACCCGGCCUGGCCGCACUUCGCUGUGCAGCGGCUCCUCCCCGGUGCAGUCCUUAGUAGGAUUCUGAUAAGUGCUUUCCCACCCCCAACUCUGCAAAGUCCUCCCCGUCUGGGUGCAGGCAACUGUUGGCUUUAGGGCCCUGGUUCCACCUCCAGGACCCCCGGAGCCGUCACCCACAUCAUACCGGGCCGGCAACAAAACCUCAGGACUCCUUGGGUGAAUGGAUGUGGGCCUGGAGGGGCGGCCCAGGGGGGCCUUCCCAGAGCCGCAGCCCUCCAGGACAGGCCUGUUCUGCCCUCCAGGGAGAGAGAGAACCGAGAGACCCCCGUGAACUCCCAAGGCGACCCGGCGAGUGGGGAAGCCAGAGCCCAGCAGAGAGGUCCUAAUAUCUACCUGGGAAAAGAGAAGACAUGUGGACGUACCCACACGGAUCCUGGCACACCACCGUUGGCGCUGGCAUUAUUACUACUGCCCACGAUGAAGGCGGGUUUGGACCACCAGACAGCAUUGCUGAUGGGUCCCUGUGUCCUCUGCGGAAUCACAGAUACUCUGAUGGUCUCAUAAGAAACAAGCUGAAAAAUGGGCCUUCCUUGAGGAAGCCGGCAGCAUAGAAUAAAAUGAAACCGCUGAUGCUUUAGACUUUACUU
rnacentral:lncRNA from 12 species